GGGUGCGAUCAUACCAACGUUAAUGCACCGGAUCCCAUCAGAGCUCCACAAUUAAACGCGCUU
rnacentral:rRNA from 1 species